rnacentral:rRNA from 1 species
CACGUAGGGCGCGAGCGUUGUCCGGAAUUAUUGGGCGUAAAGAGCUCGUAGGCGGCCUGUCGCGUCCGCUGUGAAAACCCGGGGCUUAACCCCGGGCCUGCAGUGGAUACGGGCAGGCUGGAGGCAGGCAGGGGAGAACGGAAUUCCCGGUGUAGCGGUGAAAUGCGUAGAGAUCGGAAAGAACACCAACGGCGAAAGCACUCUGCUGGGCCGACACUGACACUGAGAGACGAAAGCUAGGGGAGCGAAUGGG